AAUGAACGUUGGCGGCAUGGAUUAGGCAUGCAAGUCGAGCGAGAAAGGUUUUGAAGCUUGCUUUAGAACCUGGACAGCGGCGAAAGGGAGAGUAACGCGUAGUUACCUACCCCAGGGUCCGGAAUAGCCACGGGAAACUGUGGGUAAUGCCGGAUAAUAUCCCCGGAUCAAAGGUGUGAUUCCGCCCUGGGAGGGGACUGCGUCCUACUAGCUAGUUGGGGGGGUAAUGGCCCACCAAGGCAACGAUGGGUAGCGGGUGUGAGAGCAUGACCCGUCUCACUGGGACUGAGACACUGCCCAGACACCUACGGGUGGCUGCAGUCGAGAAUCUUCGGCAAUGAGCGCAAGCUUGACCGAGCGAUGCCGCGUGCGGGGUGAAGGCCCUCGGGUUGUAAACCGCUGUCGUAGGGGAGGAAGGCUUCGUGAAGAGCGAGGUUUGACCUAUCCUAGGAGGAAGUACGGGCUAAGUACGUGCCAGCAGCCGCGGUAAUACGUACCGUACGAACGUUAUUCUGAAUUACUGGGCUUACAGGGUUUGUAGGCGGCUUUGUAAGUGGGGUGUGAAAUCCCUCUGCUCAACCGAGGAAUAUCACUCCAACUGCAAGGCUUGAGGGAGACUUGGGGAAACCCCACUGACGGUGGAGCGGUGAAAUGCGUUAAUCCCAUCAGGAACACCUGUGGCGAACAGCGGCUCACUGGGGCUCUUCCUGACGCUGAAGAAGCCAAUGUUGCGCAGCGAUAAUGGAAUAGAUACCCCCAUGUUCCUCCCUUUUUACUAUCACCAGCUGUUCGCGGAUCCUCCCAUAGGUCUUUCACCUUGGCUACGUGUUGANGCCCCCCCCCGGGAGUAGGGAGAAGGGCUAAAACUCUAAGGAU
rnacentral:rRNA from 1 species